rnacentral:rRNA from 1 species
CCUACGGGAGGCAGCAGUGGGGAAUAUUGGACAAUGGGCGCAAGCCUGAUCCAGCCAUGCCGCGUGUGUGAAGAAGGCCUUCGGGUUGUAAAGCACUUUUAUCCGGAAAGAAAAGCUUUGGGUUAAUACCCUGAAGUCAUGACGGUACCGGAAGAAUAAGCACCGGCUAACUUCGUGCCAGCAGCCGCGGUAAUACGAAGGGUGCAAGCGUUACUCGGAAUUACUGGGCGUAAAGCGUGCGUAGGUGGUUUGUUAAGUCUGAUGUGAAAGCCCUAGGCUCAACCUGGGAAUUGCAUUGGAUACUGGCAGGCUAGAGUGCGGUAGAGGAUAGUGGAAUUCCCGGUGUAGCAGUGAAAUGCGUAGAGAUCGGGAGGAACAUCUGUGGCGAAGGCGACUAUCUGGGCCAGCACUGACACUGAGGCACGAAAGCGUGGGGAGCAAACAGGAUUAGAUACCCUGGUAGUCCACGCCCUAAACGAUGCGAACUGGAUGUUGGGUGCAACUAGGCACUCAGUAUCGAAGCUAACGCGUUAAGUUCGCCGCCUGGGGAGGUACGGUCGCGAGACGUAGAACGUACGAAGAGUAGUAGGACGGCGAGAGACGCGACGGACGGACGACGACGGGAGGGAGGGAGG